AUUGAACGCUGGCGGCAGGCCUAACACAUGCAAGUCGAGCGAGCGGCGUACGGGUGAGUAAUGUAUGGGGACUGCCCGAUAGAGGGGGUUAACUACUGUAAACGGUAGCUAAUACCUCUUACUAUCGGAUAACCCAUAUGGGAUUAGCUAGUAGGUCGGGUAAUGGCUCACCUAGGCGACGAUCCCUAGCUGGUCUGAGAGGAUGAUCAGCCACACUGGGACUGAGACACGGCCCAGAGUCCUACGGAGGCAGCGGUGGGGAAUAUUGCACAAUGGGCGCCAACCGGAUGCAGCCAGGCCGCGGGUAUGAAGAAGGCCCUAGGGGUGUAAAGUGCUUUCAGUCGGGAGGCGUUACCGACAGAAGAAGCACCGGCUAACUCCGUGCCAGCAGCCGCGGUAAUAC
rnacentral:rRNA from 1 species